rnacentral:rRNA from 1 species
UACAGAGGUCCCGAGCGUUGUUCGGAUUCACUGGGCGUAAAGGGUGCGUAGGUGGUGAGGUAAGUCGGAUGUGAAAUCUCCAAGCUCAACUUGGAAAUGGCAUUGGAAACUACCUUGCUGGAGGUUUGGAGGGGGGACUGGAAUUCUCGGUGUAGCAGUGAAAUGCGUAGAUAUCGAGAGGAACACCAGUGGCAAAGGCGAGUCCCUGGACAAAACCUGACACUGAGGCACGAAAGCUAGGGGAGCAAACAGG